rnacentral:piRNA from 1 species
UAUCAUUUCAAUGCCUGCUGUUAGCC